AUUGAACGCUGGCGGAAUGCUUUACACAUGCAAGUCGAGCGGCAGCACGGGGGCAACCCUGGUGGCGAGCGGCGAACGGGUGAGUAAUACAUCGGAACAUGCCCAGUCGUGGGGGAUAACACUUCGAAAGAAGUGCUAAUACCGCAUACGUCCUGAGGGAGAAAGCGGGGGACCUUCGGACCUCGCGCGAUUGGAGUGGCCGAUGUCAGAUUAGCUAGUUGGUGGGGUAAAGGCCAACCAAGGCAACGAUCUGUAGCUGGUCUGAGAGGAUGAUCAGCCACACUGGGACUGAGACACGGCCCAGACUCCUACGGGAGGCAGCAGUGGGGAAUUUUGGACAAUGGGGGCAACCCUGAUCCAGCCAUUCCGCGUGAGUGAAGAAGGCCUUCGGGUUGUAAAGCUCUUUCGGCAGGAACGAAACGGCGAGCUCUAACAUAGCUUGCUAAUGACGGUACCUGAAGAAGAAGCACCGGCUAACUACGUGCCAGCCGCCGCUGUAACAC
rnacentral:rRNA from 1 species